CUUGUGUGCAAAAUUAUAAGUUUAUUACUAAGGGCCCGUUUGGUUCAAGUUAUCCCGGCAAGAUUACAGGCAAUCCUGCCAGGAUAACUGUGUUUGGUUAAUCCGCUAUGUAAUGUAGUCGUUAAUGUAACAUUACAAAUCGAACAGGAUUACAUCGAAAAUAUUAAUGGGAGGGGGGUCGUGUAUCUUGCAUUAUUGAAACCCGUUAAUACUACAUAUUAUGUAAAAUGACAAUUUUACCCUCCAACAACCCCAAAUCUAAUUAACUGUAUUAUUUUCAUCUCUCUCGCCUUCCCCCUCUCUCUCGCAUGCCCUUUUCUCUCGCUCUCUCUCUCGCCUUCUUCCCUCUCUCUCGCACGCCCCUUUCUCUCGCUCUCUCUCUCUCACGUCUCUCUAUCUAUAUCUCUUUCUCUCUCGUGCACGAACACUUAUAAUUUUCUAUUGCAUCGUUGGUUUAGACUUUUUUAGUUUUUUUUUAUUAGUGCAAGAACUUUUAAAUUUUUAUAAUGUAAGUGUUUAAGCUUUCACUUUUGGAUGCUAUUAUAAUGUGUGUGGAAGUUUCGACUUUAUAAAAUAUUUAUUCUAUAUGGUGCUUUAUUAAUUUCUUAACUUGGUAAUAGUACUGUUUGAUAUUAAACAUGAAAAAUAUAUAUUCUAUAUGUUUGGUUAAUGAUUUUGUUUAUAGAUGAGUUUUAAAAUUGAAAUUUAUUUGUUAUUGUAUGAUUUUUCAUUAUGUAUAAUGAUCUUUUUUCUAUUUAUUCUUUUAUGGGUUGAAAUUAAUUUUUUGCAACGUUAAUUUUUUUUCAUGUUAGGUCUUUUUAUUUUAUUAAUUAUUAAUAUAAUUAAUUUACUACUGUAAAUUAUAUUUUUGUAAAUAAAAUAAUAUUCAACUGACCACAAUAAGGGCAAUUUUGAAAAAAACUAUGCUUUUAUGUCAGGAUUACUAAAUUUUAUAAGCUGAACCAAACGUAUUAAUGUUAUAAACACUGUAAUCUAGUAUUACAUUACUGCAUUAAACCAAACGCGUUAAUGCAGCAUCAGUAGUAAUCUCACGCCGAAAUCUAAGAUCCCUGGAUAUGUCAAGAUACUUUGUAAUAUUACAUAACUCGAACCAAACGGGUCCUAAGAGUGUAAAUAGACUGCAAAAAAGAAAAGAGAAUAGUUGAUAGCUUUAAAAAAAAAAAUUAGUAAUAUAUAAAAAGUGAAAAAAUCUGUAAACUACAACAGUAUCGUAUAGUGUAAUCAAGUCAGUAAAAAAUUU
rnacentral:lncRNA from 1 species